CGUGUCUGAUAGUAUGUGCCUUCGGGUUGUAAANGACUUUUGUCCGGGANCAAAUGCCUGGUGCUUAAUACGCAUUCGGGGAGCUGAGANUACCGGAAGAAUAAGCACCGGCUAACUACGUG
rnacentral:rRNA from 1 species